UUUUGGAGACUUUAGGGGUAUUUGAAAACUGCUGACACAGCUGUAGUGAUGCCUCUUUCCCAGGCUUCCUCGACUCCAGAUUCCGCCUGAUGCCGCACUGAUGGUCUCAUCCCUGCUUCUCCCUACACAGGUACACAUUGGCAGCUCAGGACCUGGUGAUGCGUGCCCGUGGUGUCCUGAAGGACAGAGGAUGGCGGAUAUCUAAUGACCGACUGGGCUCAGGAGACGACAUUUCUGCCCCGUCCCAUCUCAUCCCAAGAGCAGCAACUGUGUCUACAUAACAGGGUUGGCCCUUGGAGCAUUCCUGGAGAGGUCAAAAGGCAACAGACUCAAAAUUCUGAAGAACGUAUUUAUAUGUGGUUCUGAAAUGUUGUGUAUCUGACUUAUAGCCAAAUCUGCUUGUCCUAAUAGCCUCAGAGGAAGUCUUGUUUAAUAAAAAGCUUUCGAUUUCCUAGUCAAGUCUUUAUGGUUGUCUUGGGGUAUGUAUGGCCACUUCCUCUAAUGAAAGGCUCUUUCGGUUCUAAAUCUCUUUGUUGGGCUGGACCCUACUCUUCGGAAUACUUGGGGAUGGGUCUUUUCCUUAAAGAGAGCAAACUCAUACUCCAUCCACACCUUGUAGCUUCUUGCCAGGCGACAGCCAAACCUUUGUUCUCACGACACCUGCAGUGAGAGAAGCGCCAGCAGUCAGAGAUGGAGGGUAUGUUCUGCGGUGGGUCUGCUUACCUAACUGCCCUUCUUGGGGUGGGAAGGGAGAGGGGAAAAUCGGGCUAGGCCAAGUACUCAGCUGUGGACUAGGACAAACUACAAAAAGUGGCAAUUUCAGUUCCUUUCCACAACUUUGGGGAAUUUAGGGUGUUUGAUUUUUUAAUUCCUAGCAGCUUACCUCUAUGGGGUUGUGCGAAGUCAGCUGCGCUCACCUUCUUCUUACUCCUAAGUAUUCACUUCUGUCUCGGGACAACUACAGCUGUAGGCAGGUAUUGGUGGGCAGGGAUGAGAGUCUUGGGACCCAGAUUUGGCCUCAGAUCUUGGCCAUUCGGGCAGGAUUUUUGGUUUACCAAGAGCACUAGCAUGGAAACAUACGGAAAAAGACUCCCACAUCUUUAAAAUUCUGAUUCUCCUCUAGACUGCACCUCCUUCCUCGUCUGCCAAUCCAUUUGUUUUCAACACGGCCAAGGGCGGUCAGUGGUUUCUUUCCACCACAGUUUGAGGAUCUGACCUUUCCUUAAGUGACCCAGCAGCACCACUGUUCUCAGAGGGAAUAUGUUAAACUUUUAUGAGAUUCUGUCUUCAGUAAAUUACUGCUUCUGGGACACUUGGAGAAAGCAGUGAAGAGUCAUUGUCUAUGCAAAGAACAAUCAGGCUGACCCUAAAAUUUACCAGAUCUCAGAAAACAGGAAAACAGUAUCUGGCCCCAGGACAGAAUCUUACUUUAGAAACUUGGAUUUGUGAGAACUUCACAAUUGCAGAGAAGGCUGAGAGUCUGCACACCAUACACCGCCCACCAUGCAGGGCAGACUCUGGGUGGGCGUGGCUGAUGUGGCAGAUGCGCACACUGGGAUUUUUCAAAGGACACUACGUGAGCAGGCUCCUUGCCUCUCAGGCGAGCACCAUGGCAGCUCUUUGUCAGAUCUGAGUGCCGGUCUGGGCACGACUGCUCUUUCUAACCCAUGAUGUUACGUGUAAAUAGCUUUCAUUUUUCCUCUGCGUCUUAGAUGAAGUCUUGUUCACAUAGCAACCAGGUAGACAGUGACCAAAUAAGGCUGUAAAUGUGCUGUUGUUUUCUACUGUGAUGUACUUGAAGGAGAACCUUGUGCCCCCCCACUUUUCGGACCUUCCAUAGUAUUUUGUGUCUGGGGAGUCCUGAGGUAAUUCUCUUAUUUCUGUUCGCUUCCAUUUUCUCUGUUUCUUCUGGAGACCCAGGGAGGCCCACGGUGGAGAUCAUUUGUAAGAUCUGGGUUUCCAAAAAUGCCAGAUGUACAGGGAAUGACAGGAAUCUGCCUGAAAAUGGUUUCAGAACCAUGUACCUUUAUGCUUUGUGAUUGUGAAACCUUGAAUUUGUAACCCCCCAAAAUGAAAACUGUUUAGUAAAGGGGGUCUAUUUUGUGUGUUUUGAAACUUAGGUGCGAUGUUCCCUGGAAAAAGCUAAAGAAAUGUAUAUGCUCAAUGACAUUUUAAAAUAAAAUAUUAUAUAUAUGUAUAUAGAA